rnacentral:lncRNA from 1 species
AUUUAAAAAAAUUGUACUACGUAGGACCGCCCAGUCAGCAGCCUAGAUGAACUGAAGCGUGGCGCGUGGCAAAGCACGCUGACUUGGUGCCAUGAAGGAGGCCACGCCGGUGAUCCACGUGCCCCGCAAUCGGAUGGCCUGAAAGUGUUCUUGCGUGCGUGGACAUUCGAAUUCAUUCCCUCCUCAGGCGCAAUCAGACGAUCGUGAUUAAACGCGAUGAACGGUUCAGAUUUGUUUCCUCUUUAAACACGAUCAGACAGUCGAGAUCAAAUCAUGAUGAACGGUCUAGAUUCAUUUCUUUUUUAAAUGCAAUUGGACGAACGAGAUCAAAUGCGAUGAAUAGUCCAGAUUUAAGCGAGAUGGGUAUAAAUAUCUCGCAUCACACCGAACUCAAACCCUAGCCGCCAGCCUCCCAUUGGAGAAGAAGAACCAAUUAUUGGAGAAGAAGAACUAAUCAUUGGAGAAGAAGAACCAGUCG